rnacentral:rRNA from 1 species
GUCAUACGGUUGAGUAACGCGUGGGAAGCUACCUUGUGGUAGGGAACAACAGUUGGAAACGACUGCUAAUACCCUAUGAGCCCUAUGGGGGAAAGAUUUAUCGCCAUGAGAUGUGCCCGCGUUAGAUUAGCUAGUUGGUAAGGUAAUGGCUUACCAAGGCGACGAUCUAUAGCUGGUCUGAGAGGAUGAUCAGCCACACUGGGACUGAGACACGGCCCAGACUCCUACGGGAGGCAGCAGUGGGGAAUAUUGGACAAUGGGGGCAACCCUGAUCCAGCCAUGCCGCGUGAGUGAUGACGGCCUUAGGGUUGUAAAGCUCUUUCAGCAGUGAAGAUAAUGACAUUAACUGCAGAAGAAGCCCCGGCUAACUUCGUGCCAGCAGCCGCGGUAAUACGAAGGGGGCUAGCGUUGUUCGGAAUCACUGGGCGUAAAGCGUACGUAGGCGGACUGAUCAGUCAGGGGUGAAAUCCCGGGGCUCAACCCCGGAACUGCCUUUGAUACUGUCAGUCUUGAGAUCGAGAGAGGUGAGUGGAACUCCCGAGUGUAGAGGUGAAAUUCGUAGAUAUUCGGAACCACAGCCA